GAGCGAAACUCCAUCACACACACAAAAAAUUAAUUAAAAAUAAAUAAACAUUGGUCAAAAAUCAUAAAGCUGUAUCAACUGUAUAUAAAUAAUUCAAUUAAAAUAUCAUGCAUAAAAUCUGGGUGUAAUAAAAACAAAGAAUAAUUUUUUUAAAACCCAAAGCAAGGCAAGGGGUGAUGUUACCAAACUGCCAUGUAUCAGAGAUGUGAUUAGAAGGAAAUCCUUCAAGGGGAGCUUAUUUAUGGUACGCUAGAUGUCUUCUGGCUCCAUUCACACAUGAUAAAUAACACCACCUCUCCAAGUCCACUGGUUUGUUUCUUCAAGGAAAGAGUUGGAACAGGAUCAAUGUUUACACUCACAUGACACAAAACAUCUAUGUCAUCUCCAUCUGAGAUCAGAUGAAAGCUAAGUUUAAAUGACAGUAGUUGUUAUUCAUUAAUAUAAUUGGUAAAGAAAAUAUCAAACAUUCUUGUCUGCAUAAAUAGCAAGACAAAAGCAAAAUUAAACAAGUUAAUAGCACAGACCCUGAAGUCAGAGAGCCAGGAGUUCUAGAUGGGGCUUUGCUACUUAAGUGGCAGUGUGUGUUGCUUAUCUGAAAGAAAACAUUACCAAUUUGUUGGAAAGUUCUUCUUUAGCAGUAGUAAUCGGUGUUUUAUCCAACAUAUUUCUUAAUAACUGUUGAGAAAAGGUUGAGACAUCUUCCCAAUUGGCACAGAAGUGCAAUACAAGGCCAGAACAUUAAUUUCACGUUUUAUUAAAAAUUCAUGGUAAUUAAAAGGUUUUCGUUAAGUCUAUUUAUCAAUUCUAAGAGAACCUAGAACAGGAAUAUGAACAAGCUCAGCAAAAUGAUCACAAGGCCACUAAAAGAAUGUCUGAUAUUCCCCAGGCAGUCAAAGAUGCUCAAAGGAAGAAAAGUAUCCUGACUUAGAAUUUUAUACCCAGCACGGUUAAAGAUCUCCUUUUUCUUCUGUUUUUUAACUUUUUUUCUUCUCUUUCAAGACAACUCGUCACUAGGAUUCCUUUUCUUCUAAACAAUGACUUUCUCAUUCUUUUUGGCUGUCUUAAAAUGUGACAACAAAAAAGCAUCUUUGCACAUUAGGAAGCCGAGGCAGGCGGAUCACUUGAGGUCAGGAGUUCGAGAUUCGCCUGAGCAACAUGGUGAAACCCCAUCUCUAUUAAAAAUACAAAAAUUAGCUAGGCAUGGUGACAUGCGCCUGUAGUCCCAGCUACUUGGGAGGCUGGGGCAGGAGACAUGCUUCAACCCGGGAGGUGGAGGCUGCAGUGAGCUGAGAUCGCACCACUGCACUCCAGCCUGGGUGACAGUGAGAUUCCGUAAAAAAUACAAAUUUAAAUUAAAAAAAAGAAAAAGGAACUUUGUUUUUGCUUUAUAUUUCAUGCUUUAAUAAACAUAAAAAUUUGCUGUCUCCCCAUCCCCCACCUCUCAGACUGAAGGUAGUCCAAGUACCUGAGAUUUUAUGGAGUUUUACUUUUUUAUAGUUUAUAGGCAGUUUAUGCCAAGCCUAAAAGUGUGAACUCUAGUCUGUAUGUAGGCUUGGAUUUAAAGCCCAGUUCCACCUCCACUUACUAUGUGACUUUGGACAAGUCGCGGUUCAGUUUGAUGCUUCAGUUCCCUCAUCUGUAAAAUGGGAAUAUAUUACUGAACCAAUUUCAUAGGGUGGUUUUAAGAAUUAAAUGAUAUAGUGCAAGUAAAGAGUUUACUUGUUAAGUAAACACAUACAUAUACUCAAUAUUAGCAGUUACAAAUGUUAAUUCCGAGUUGGCUCUGGUAAAUUUUUUAAAAAUUGGUUGAUUAAAAAACAGGCAUAUCGGCCGGGCACAGUGACUCACACCUGUAAUCCUAGCGCUUUGGGAGGCCUAGGCAGGAUGACUGCCUGAGCUCAGGAGUUUGAGACUACCCUAGGCAACAUGGUGAAACCGUCUCUACUAAAAAUACAAAAAUUAGCCGGGCAUGGUGGCAGGCGCCUGUAGUCCCAACCACUUGGGAGGUGAGGCAGGAAAAUCAUUUGAACCCAGGAGACGGAGGUUGUAGUGAGCGGAUAUCGCACCACUGCACUCUAACCUGGGCGACAGAGCAAGACUCCAUCCCCAAAAAAAUCACUACUCUAUACUUCUAAGAAUCUUCUAAGAAUCCCUGCUUCUUUUUAGUGCACAUGAGCUUGGUUCCUCAGGCAAUUAUUUUAUAAUCUUCAUUGCUGGCCAUAAUUGCAGUGCCACCAAAUUACCACUGCAUCACAAAUGGAUUUGUAAAGAAUAGUCACCCAUACUUAUAAAUGAUUUGCUUAUAAAAAUAUCUGUUAAAGCCGGGCGCAGUGCUCACGCCUGUAAUCCCAGCACUUUGGGAGGCUGAGGCAGGUAGAUCACCUGAGCUCCCGACCUCAAGACCAGCCUGACCAACAUAGAGAAACCCCGUCUCUACUAAAAGUACAAAAUUAGCUGCAUGUGGUGGCACAUGCCUGUAAUCCCAGCUACUCAGAAGGCUGAGGCAGGAGAAUCGCAUGAACCCGGGAGGUGGUGGUUGCAGUGAGCCAAGAUUGUGCCAUUGCACUCCAGCCUGGGCAACAAGAGUAAAACUGCAUCUCAAAAAAAAAAUCUGUUAAAAAUAUUAAGUUAAAAAUUUAAAGGACUUGUUUAGCAUAUAAUCUGGCAUUUAAUCCAUUUUAUAUUAUAACUUUUUAUUCUUAAUAGUAAAAAUGUCUUCUACUGAUUUAAAUAGUUUGGGAAAUAUUAACAUUUAGGGGCUGAUAAAAUAAUUUUGAAUGUCAGGCUGGCCAUCUACCUGGCAAUACGAAAUAAGCAUAAUAAAAAAUAUUCCAUGUACCACACAUUUUUUUUUUACUUGGGGUGGGGUAUAGAAACAAAAACCCAUCACCAAUCAUAAAUCCAUCUGUUCACGUAUGCCUUAUCAAUGAUCAUGUAUCUUGUGGGAACUUUCUGAAAAGGACAAAUGUUCCAACAUGUAGAGCUUUUUCUCUGCAGAAAAAACAUCAGAGCUAAUCAAAAGCCCAUGUUGUUUCCUUUUCUGGGGAUAUUGUCAGUAACAAAGUAAAUAAAUUGCAUGUUUUUCUACCUUUUUAGAUAAUACAAUAUUUUGCAAACUUGCCAUGAUUGUGAGGGUCAAAUAAACGAAUACUAUCUAAAAUUUAAAAAUUAGGUUAUCCUGGCUGGGCGCGGUGGCUCAUGCCUGUGAUCACAGUACUUUGGGAGGCCGAGGCGGGUGGAUCACCUGAAGUCAGGAGUUCCAGACCAGCCUGGCCAACGCGGCGAAACCCGUAUCUACUAAAAAUACAAAAAUCAGCUGGGUGUGGUGGCACGUGCCUGCAGUCCCAGCUACUCGGGAUGCUAAGGCAAGAGAAUUGCUUAAAUCUGGGAGGUGGAGGCUGCAGUGAGCCGAGAUUGCACUACUGCACUCCAACCUGGGUGACACAGCGAGACUCCAUCUCAAAAAAAUAAUAAUAAUAAAAAAUAAAUAAAAAUUAGGUUACCCUGCAAUUCUGCCAUGUAUCUCCCUAGCAUGUGAAACUAGGUGGUAGAGAAGAUACAGCAACAGGAGAUGUAUCAAAGUGAUCUGAGUGUUACAGAAAGUGGUUAACUAAAAACCCUUAAAUCUAACUUAGUAGAAGACAGGCUAUAUUUACUGAAGAGGGAGAGUCAGUAUGAGGCCUAAAAAUAGGAGACAAAUAAUUCAUUGCCAGGCAUGAUGGCUGACACCUAUAAGCCCAGCACUUUGGGAGGCCAAGGCAGGAGAAUCGGGAGUUCGAGACCAGCCUGGGCAACAGAUCAAGACCUCAUUUCUACAAAAGUAAUAAAUUAACCAGAUGUGGGAGUGUAACUGUAGUCUCAGCUACUCAGGAGACUGGGACACAAUAAUUGCUUGAACUCAGGAGGCGGAGGCUGCAAUGAACUGAGAUCGCGCCACUGCACUCCAGCCUUGGUAACAGAGCGAGACUCUGUCUCAAAAACAAAAAACAGACCAAAAAACAAAGCCAUAUACUUGCUUUAAAUGAAUAAUCUGGGAUCAAGAUUUUAAACCAAAAUAAUAAGCAAUUUUCAAAGUACUCUCCAUUAACAUCUCUCACAUAACCAAAGAUAGCAUACUAUAAACAAGGCACAUUACUUAAGCUUAUUUCAUCUAUGCAAGUCUUAGCAUACGUGUUGAAACAAAGAAAAGAUUCCAGAAGUUUCCAAUUAACCAUUAUACAUCUAGUAUCCAUAGAAAAAUGUCACCUGUUAGUUUGUGUCAAAACUGUCAAAUGAUGCAGUCAUACACAUGCUUUAAAAGAUACACGGUAGCCCAAAAAAUGUCAGUUGUCUUGUUCUGUUUUGCAUCUCAAAUUCUGCUAUGAAACUAGGAGUUUCAAACAAACCACUGUGGAUUAUGAACUACGUUAUUUACCAUAUACUACAGUCAGUUCUUUUUACUCAUAGCAGUUAUGUUCUAUGAAAUCACCAUGGGCCGGGCGCCAUGGC
rnacentral:lncRNA from 1 species